GAUGAACGCUGGCGGCGUGCCUAAUACAUGCAAGUCGAGCGAACGGACGAGAAGCUUUCUUCUCUGAUGUUAGCGGCGGACGGGUGAGUAACACGUGGAUAACCUACCUAUAAGACUGGGAUAACUUCGGGAAACCGGAGCUACUACCGGAUAAUAUUUUGAACCGCAUGGUUCAAAAGUGAAAGACAGUCUUGCUGUCACUUAUAGAUGGAUCCGCGCUGCAUUAGCUAGUUGGUAAGGUAACGGCUUACCAAGGCAACGAUGCAUAGCCGACCUGAGAGGGUGAUCGGCCACAAUGGAACUGAGACACGGUCCAGACUCCUACGGGAGGCAGCAGUAGGGAAUCUUCCGCAAUGGGCGAAAGCCUGACGGAGCAACGCCGCGUGAGGGAUGAAGGUCUUCGGAUCGUAAAACUCUGUUAUUAGGGAAGAACAUAUGUGUAAGUAACUGUGCACAUCUUGACGGUACCUAAUCAGAAAGCCACGGCUAACUACGUG
rnacentral:rRNA from 1 species